UUACGGCUAUAGCAUGUUGAAACAACGAUUCUCGUACGAUCACCGAAGUUAAGCAACAUUGAGCCUGGUCAAUAUCUAGAUGAGUGACAGCUUGGGAAUACCAGGUGCUGCAAG